rnacentral:rRNA from 1 species
UUGAACGCUGGCGGCAGGCCUAACACAUGCAAGUCGAACGGUAACAGGAAGAAGCUUGCUUCUUUGCUGACGAGUGGCGGACGGGUGAGUAAUGUCUGGGAAACUGCCUGAUGGAGGGGGAUAACUACUGGAAACGGUAGCUAAUACCGCAUAACGUCGCAAGACCAAAGAGGGGGACCUUCGGGCCUCUUGCCAUCGGAUGUGCCCAGAUGGGAUUAGCUAGUAGGUGGGGUAACGGCUCACCUAGGCGACGAUCCCUAGCUGGUCUGAGAGGAUGACCAGCCACACUGGAACUGAGACACGGUCCAGACUCCUACGGGAGGCAGCAGUGGGGAAUAUUGCACAAUGGGCGCAAGCCUGAUGCAGCCAUGCCGCGUGUAUGAAGAAGGCCUUCGGGUUGUAAAGUACUUUCAGCGGGGAGGAAGGGAGUAAAGUUAAUACCUUUGCUCAUUGACGUUACCCGCAGAAGAAGCACCGGCUAACUCCGUGCCAGCAGCCGCGGUAAUACGGAGGGUGCAAGCGUUAAUCGGAAUUACUGGGCGUAAAGCGCACGCAGGCGGUUUGUUAAGUCAGAUGUGAAAUCCCCGGGCUCAACCUGGGAACUGCAUCUGAUACUGGCAAGCUUGAGUCUCGUAGAGGGGGGUAGAAUUCCAGGUGUAGCGGUGAAAUGCGUAGAGAUCUGGAGGAAUACCGGUGGCGAAGGCGGCCCCCUGGACGAAGACUGACGCGCAGGUGCGAGAGCGUGGGGCGCACACAGGAUUAGAUACCCUGGUAGUCCACGCCGUAAACGAUGUCGACUUGGAGGUUGUGCCCUUGAGGCGUGGCUUCCGGAGCUAACGCGUUAAGUCGACCGCCUGGGGAGUACGGCCGCAAGGUUAAAACUCAAAUGAAUUGACGGGGGCCCGCACAAGCGGUGGAGUAUGUGGUUUAAUUCGACGCAACGCGAAGAACCUUACCAAGGCUUGACAUUGAAUGACCAUCUUAGAGAUAAGAUUUUCCCUUCGGGGACAUGAAAACAGGUGGUGCAUGGCUGUCGUCAGCUCGUGUUGUGAAAUGUUGGGUUAAGUCCCGCAACGAGCGCAACCCUUAUCCUUUGUUGCCAGCGGUCCGGCCGGGAACUCAAAGGAGACUGCCAGUGAUAAACUGGAGGAAGGUGGGGAUGACGUCAAGUCAUCAUGGCCCUUACGACCAGGGCUACACACGUGCUACAAUGGCGCAUACAAAGAGAAGCGACCUCGCGAGAGCAAGCGGACCUCAUAAAGUGCGUCGUAGUCCGGAUUGGAGUCUGCAACUCGACUCCAUGAAGUCGGAAUCGCUAGUAAUCGUGGAUCAGAAUGCCUCGGUGAAUACGUUCCCGGGCCUUGUACACACCGCCCGUCACACCAUGGGAGUGGGUUGCAAAAGAAGUAGGUAGCUUAACCUUCGGGAGGGCGCUUACCACUUUGUGAUUCAUGACUGGGGUG